UACAGAGGUCUCAAGCGUUGUUCGGAUUCAUUGGGCGUAAAGGGUGCGUAGGCGGCGCGGUAAGUCGGGUGUGAAAUCUCGGAGCUUAACUCCGAAACUGCAUUCGAUACUGCCGUGCUUGAGGACUGGAGAGGAGAUUGGAAUUUACGGUGUAGCGGUGAAAUGCGUAGAUAUCGUAAGGAAGACCAGUGGCGAAGGCGGGUCUCUGGACAGUUCCUGACGCUGAGGAGCGAAAGCCAGGGGAGCAAACGGG
rnacentral:rRNA from 1 species